GGUCUCAUAGCUCAGCGGUAGAGCGCUACCUUGACAUGGUAGAGGUCAGAGGUUCGAGACCUCUUGGGACCACCA
rnacentral:tRNA from 1 species